AUCCAGCUGACGAAUCCCGAAUAGGACGAAACAUGAGUCCUGGAU
rnacentral:hammerhead_ribozyme from 1 species